UACGUAGGGUGCAAGCGUUGUCCGGAAUUAUUGGGCGUAAAGAGCUUGUAGGCGGUUUGUCGCGUCUGCUGUGAAAUUUCGGGGCUCAACCCCGAACUUGCAGUGGGUACGGGCAGACUAGAGUGUGGUAGGGGAGACUGGAAUUCCUGGUGUAGCGGUGAAAUGCGCAGAUAUCAGGAGGAACACCGGUGGCGAAGGCGGGUCUCUGGGCCGAUGACUGACGCUGAGGAGCGAAAGCGUGGGGAGCGAACAGG
rnacentral:rRNA from 1 species